rnacentral:lncRNA from 1 species
UUUCUGUUUGCUGAUAUUCUGGGAUAUCCUAUAGUUUGUUUAGGAGAGGUAUAAAUAAGCCUUUGGGAUUUAGCCUGCUCCUUUUUUGGUUAAAUGAUUGUGUGGAGGAUAUUGUGUGAAAUCAGAGAGAACAUGUAUGAUAUAUGGUUUUGUAUUUUGUUUUUGGUAGUUUUAAAUUCACAUUAAUUGUAAUGCUUUGUCAUCAAAACGCAAUGUAUAACCAAAAUAAAUUAAAUCUAUUAAUUUACUGUCUGUUUCAGUUCAGCUUGGUGCGAUCAGACUGAACAACAUGGGGGGCCUCAAUCCUUGCAUGAAGUCAAACUGAUUUAUAGACACAUAUUUUUUAAAGCUAAACAAUGUACAUUUGCAUGGGCUGACAGUCCAAAUGUCACUGCUAAAUGAACAGUGAUUAUUUAUUCAUAUCUAUUCUCAUGUAUGCUUAACCAGCAGCACACUAAUUUAAUAUAAACACGUAAUCUUUGUAUUCACAGCAGGCUGGCGCUAUUCUCAGAGGAACAAGUGCAUAAGUGAAUGACAAAUAUCUGCUCUUUCUAAAUGACAGGAUUUCCUCAUAAUAACUGUGCUGGAUCUCAUAUGAUAGGUGGGAGAAGCUGUCAAGGAGACAGGGCGGAGAAGUGAUGAGAGAAGAUUACACUUCCUACAAGGCCUCAGGUUAUUAUUACCAUAUCAUGAGAGCAAUCAAUCAAAUAGGGUUAAAAUGUGCACAGUUUCAGGGACACUCCAACACGUAAUAUGAGGUUGUGAAUAAGGCACAGCUUCCAUAUGAGGCUCGGAGCAAGGUUUUCACACACCUGGGACCUUAGAUGACAUACACCUGAUUGAACAUAAUCUGCAUGAUAGAGCUGCUCAUGCAUGAUUUAAGCUGUGGACCUCAGCCUGCCUAAUAAAAUCUGUUUUUUAUUCAGCAUAUGGGCGACUAAAUGGGCAUACAUUUUAGUGCAUCUGUAAAGAUAUCGAAACUAAUGAGCCACAUUUAAUUUGUUCUGCAUUUAUAUCAUUGUAUAGAGGGGCAAGUUUAUUAAUUAACUUACUUAUUUGAUUAGGACAGUGUAAAUUAAUCACCAUUUCUGCAAUACACGUCAAUGUAAAUAUGCCAGUGAGGGUACCAGGUGUGUUCAGGCUGCCAGAUCUGCUCGAGGCCCAGCAUCUGUUGAAGACGUCACACCAUGGCAAGUCCACUCAAGCAAACUACAUUGCGAUCAAUUAAAAAAGUUAAAUGAGAUGGGUUAAAAGCCCCUCAUGAAGUCAUCAUUGAUCCGUGAUCCGUUCGGAUCGACGUAUUCGGUUCGGCACACAUGUGAUCCGCGGAUCGAUUUCUGAAAGCGGAGAAAGGAGGAGCUCGAACGCCCCGCGACACUUAAAUCCCCUGUAUGGGAGCAUUUUGGCUUCCCUGUCAAUUAUGAUGAAGAAGGAAAGAGGUCAGUGUACAAAACUGCGACGGAGUGUAGGCACUGUGGCAUAAGAAAGCCAUAUGACAGUGGAAACACAUCGAGCAUGUUCACGCAUUUGAAGCGACAUCACCCGGGUGUUUUACUGACAGGUGUUGUGCCGUAGAUUGCACCCCUGCCGUAGAACGCACCCCCUGCAUCCCCUCCACCCGUUAGCUUCUUAAAGUGGAGAUAAUGAUCUCAUAUUUGAUAUGAAUAGCCUGAAUGAAAUUAUUAAAGGCAAACGCUGUUGAAUACAUCCAACGUAAGGAAAACUUGUAUUAUUUCGCCUUGUUAUGCACUUUCAACCGCGCUCCCGUUAGGGGGUGCACUAUACGGCAGGGGUGCAUUCUUUGGCAUAACACCUGAGAUAAAACGAAAGCUGCCCAACAACCGCUCAUCACCGCAGCAUUUAAGCAGCCUCUUCCUGCGCAAUCCGACCAGGCUAAAGCUUUCACAAACUCUAUCGGUGUGUUUAUAGCUGCAGACAUGAGGCCGUAUUCAGUUGUGCAAAACGAGGGCUUUAAAAACAUGCUGAAAGUGCUUGAGCCACGUUACGACAUCCCAUCGCGCACACACUUCAUUUUUGGUUCAUUGUUACAUUUUAAAGGAAGGAGAUAUGCCUGUAUAUUGUACUUUAAGUUGUUUGUCAUUAAUAAUUAUGUUAAAAAGAAGAUAUUAUGCCCUGUGCACUACUUUUAUAUAUUUUAUUUGUCUUGUUUUUUUUUCUUUUUGCUGAUCCGAAAAAUGAUCCGAUCCGUGACUCUUGAUCCGAGGAACGAUCCGAUCCGUGAGUUUUGUGAUCCGUUGCACCACUAGUUAAAAGCCCCUCAUGAAGUCUCUGUUUGUCAAAGAUACCCCCCUUCCUCUUCUUCCUCCUCCUCGUGCGUCUGGACGCUGAGUGCGGUCCGUCAACCCAACGGAUUUCUCAAUGCGUCAAUACUAAGAAAUUACACUUACAUUUUAAACAAGGUGUUCUUUUUGUGUAUGUAUAAGUAAUAGAAUAUCUGAAAACCAAAAAAUAGAAACCAUUACUGGUUAAAAGUCAGUAACCACAGUCUUUUCUAGGAGUCCCUGAGCUCCCUCGUCUCGUAGGUUCCUCUGGAUCACUGCUAGAGACAACCAACCUGUUUCACAGCUGCUUCCACUGCAAGCAUCAGUCCCUCCAUUUUUUAUCACUUUUACAAAGCUCAUGUUAAUUUAUUAGCAUCAGUCCCCUGCAAGAUAACAAAUGUCUCCACAGCUGCAAUAAGUGCAAACAUGAUGAAACUAGCUGUGAGGCAAAUGCUGCUGGUUUAAUUAUAAUUCAAUUCUCCUGCUGUCGUCUUGUGCUGUCACUUAGAUAGUGUUGCCUGAGGAACAUGUGGAUAUGGGUUUGCAUCAUGUUGUGAGUGUUGUCAGUCUGUCAUUGUGUAGGUGUUGUGUGCCUGUCUUGUCAGUCUUUUAGAAUAAGCCCAGCUCCCUGUCUCCCUUUCACAGCAGGAGUCGUCUCAGCAGCGGCUCACAAACUCAAUGUGAUGACAUGUUUCAUGAUCCUGAAGACUUUGAUUGGAAAAAGAUGCUGGAGGCUUCUGUGUGAUUACAUGUUUGUUUGUUUUUGUGUUUCCGUGUGAGUGUCAGAGACCACACAGGUCUGAAUUGAGCAGCAAUUUUUGUUUUUUUUACAGCCCAGUUUAAGUCUGACUUAAAGAUGGUAUCAAUGGCACAAUGGCAUCACAGCAGUGUUUUUGUUUUCUCCUUUUCAAGCAGCUGAGAGCAGGAGCUAAAAAGAUGUUUGGUGGCUAGUGCUGUGGCUGGGACCCUAUAUGUCCUGUUGAUGAAGUUAGGUGCUGUUCUGGGCAUAAUUUAUGGCUAUAGAGUGGCUUUUUGGUUGAGGUUUGCGUGUGGAGACAUAGACCGCUGUGUUUUGCUAUUGUGUGGUCAUUACUAAAGUUGGUAUAACCAGAGAAGGAAGCAGUCGGCAACAUUUACCUCUUGACGGGGUGUCUAACUCGGUGUUAUGGUGUGUUUGACCCUAAUUUAUUUUAAGCCGGAAUAUCCCUUUAAUACACAAAAGUCUCAUACAGUGUUGUAUUGAACUACAAACAGCCUAAGGAAUCAAUUGUACUGUCCAAUUAGCACAGCAUGUGAUGUAGUGUUUACGGACAGAAAUGUGAACAGUGACAGCUGUCUGGAGUGAAAACCAACUCUCUCACCAAUAAACUGUAUGUGCUGUUACUUGUUCCUGUUUUACUAAAAAUUCUCUUACGUGUUUUAAGUGACUGCUACAGUGGAUCACAGCUGCAGCAGGUGUCAUUUUAGUAGUCCAUGUGCCAUCAUCUUGAACAAACAGUGUGAUUGGGUCAGCACGUCAGCUACUCAUAAGAGUGACUGGUUCCAGACCCACAUGCCAACAAAAUGAAUAGGAGCCUGGCUGAUAGCAUAAUAGUCAUAAUUAUAUACUUCACCUGUCAUAGUGCUUUAGUUUUGAAUAGUCAGUGCAAAUUUCAAAUUGAGAGCCUCUGGCAGUGAAUUUUCUCAUCAAGAGUCAGAUGCCUCUCCCCACAAAGAGCAACCAAUCGCAUAGUCUGAAAGCUCACCUCACGAAGCAAACAUUGCUGGUGUUAUAACUGACCUUGCAUAGAUAACUUAUUAAUGCACAUUGGGUCCAUUUUAAUGCCCAUUCAGUAACUGAAAAAACCUUUUCCAACUGUUUGACCUCACCAAAGAGUUUGUUUCAGACCCAAAGGUCCCUUUAUAAUGCUUUCGUUCACAUAUGGACUCCAGUACAUUUUAUAUGUAAGAUAUGGAAAUAUAGAAAUGCAUGGCAUUAACAGUUUUUUUUUUAUUAUCAUUAUUAUCCAAAUGCUUCUGAAUGAAAGGAUAUAAUACCCUCACAACAUGCAUAACCUUGAUUUGGCAGUCUUGCAUAAUUCAGUGUGUUUCCUCCUAACCAGAGUAGUGAAAGAAAUUUAUAUACCACAUCAUCCAUCACUCUCAUCACCUGACACCCAGGAGGAAAUAACAGCCUAUAGUCAAGGUGUCACUUUGUUUGCAGCUGAUUUAUUUGAAAAUGCAAUGAUUUAUGUGUCAAUUUGAGUGUUAAAAAUGAUUGACUGUAGCUCUUCCACAUCCUUCAACAGUGGUGGGUGAUGAUCCUGUGGCCUUCGCUUCUGACAUCCCAGCUCACUGUCCGCACAGCAAGGUGUCUGGACAUAGCAGCUUCAGCUUCACUCUGAAACAGGAAAAACAAGUGAGAAGAAGAAACAUUUAUCAUUAAUAAUAAUAAUAAUAAUAAUAAUAAUGAUAAUAAUAAUAAUAAUAAUAAUAAUAAUAAUAAUAAUAAUAAUAAUAAUAAUAAUAAUACAUUUUAUUUGCAAAGUGCGUUUCACAAACACAAAGACGCUGUACAUGAAUAAAAGCAAGAGCAGUAAAACAUACAACAAUAUACAAUAAAAAAUACAUCAAUAUCAAAUAAAAUCAAGUAAAAUCAGGUAAAAUCCACAGGGUGGGUUAUGGAGGAUAAAAGGCAGUGCGGAAAAGGUGGGUUUUGAGCUGGGUCUUGAAUCUGGUAAUUUCGGUGCAGUUUCUGAGGUCAAGUGGGAGUGAGUUCCAGAGGGUGGGGGUGGCGACUGAGAAGGCUCUGUCCCCCCAGGUUCAGUGCUUGGUCCGGGGAACUGUGAGGAGGUUGGGGGGGGUGGAUGAGAUGAAAGUCUGUGACUGUGGAGGUGAGGAAUUUUGGGCCAAUCAUGAGGGGAUCUGUUUUGUCGUAGUUGAGCUUGAGAAGGUUGCUGUCUAUCCAGUGUUUGAUAUCAGAGGCAGUUUGAGAG